CGAAGCUCCGGAAAGUGGAGGUUUUUUCCUUCACGCCGAAGGUGCAACCGGGGGGAGGCCGGCUCCCGUCCCGGGAAUCUCUCAGGCAAAGAACGGAGGC
rnacentral:ncRNA from 1 species